CGAGUUCUCGUUGAUGAUCGGUGCUUGCACCGAGAUUCAACAUGGAACGAGUGGCGGACGGGUGAGUAACACGUGGGUAACCUGCCCUUAAGUGGGGGAUAACAUUUGGAAACAGAUGCUAAUACCGCAUAGAUCCAAGAACCGCAUGGUUCUUGGCUGAAAGAUGGCGUAAGCUAUCGCUUUUGGAUGGACCCGCGGCGUAUUAGCUAGUUGGUGAGGUAAUGGCUCACCAAGGCGAUGAUACGUAGCCGAACUGAGAGGUUGAUCGGCCACAUUGGGACUGAGACACGGCCCAAACUCCUACGGGAGGCAGCAGUAGGGAAUCUUCCACAAUGGACGCAAGUCUGAUGGAGCAACGCCGCGUGAGUGAAGAAGGCUUUCGGGUCGUAAAACUCUGUUGUUGGAGAAGAAUGGUCGGCAGAGUAACUGUUGCCGGCGUGACGGUAUCCAACCAGAAAGCCACGGCUAACUACGUGCCAGCAGCCGCGGUAAUACGUAGGUGGCAAGCGUUAUCCGGAUUUAUUGGGCGUAAAGCGAGCGCAGGCGGUUUUUUAAGUCUGAUGUGAAAGCCCUCGGCUUAACCGAGGAAGCGCAUCGGAAACUGGGAAACUUGAGUGCAGAAGAGGACAGUGGAACUCCAUGUGUAGCGGUGAAAUGCGUAGAUAUAUGGAAGAACACCAGUGGCGAAGGCGGCUGUCUGGUCUGUAACUGACGCUGAGGCUCGAAAGCAUGGGUAGCGAACAGGAUUAGAUACCCUGGUAGUCCAUGCCGUAAACGAUGAAUGCUAGGUGUUGGAGGGUUUCCGCCCUUCAGUGCCGCAGCUAACGCAUUAAGCAUUCCGCCUGGGGAGUACGACCGC
rnacentral:rRNA from 1 species